GCGGGGACAGGAAGAGGCAUCGGAAAAAACACUUAAGGCUUAAUUCGUAUCAUUUGGCGCUGCUAACGGAUCUGUUUCACACAUGGACACGUCAGCAGAGUAUGUGGAAGCUGGUAAUAUCUGGAGACUACUGAACAGCACAUCUCCUUCUACGUACCUUGACCCCCGCCAGAAUGCCUGUUGUGGACACACUGAAGUCCAGAGAAAGACAAUGUGCUAAAUUGGAGGAAUCGACUUGUGACUGCUUCAACCGAGCCUGAGCUGAAGACCUUGGUGUGUUUGCGCGCAUGUACACAACUCACCUGUGUCCAGCACCAUGGGCCAGCUCUUGACGUCCACGGCAGCAGCAGCCUCUUUGGAUUUCAGCAACUUCAUUAUUGCUUGUGUUGUCAGGAUGCACACCGACUUACUGACCUUAAAAAAACACACACACACACACACACACGUUAUUUCACGUUAACUGUUUAAUAAUUGCAGUAACUGCGGUGGGAGGUCGGUGGACUCUGUGUUACCUCAACAAUCAUCUUGACAGUGGGCAGGGUGGUGGCCAGGUUCUGGGGGUGCGGGGGUCUGACGGUGACUGGCACGCAGCCGGCGUACAGGCAGCCGUAAAACGUGGCAAUCAGGUCAAUUCCUGCAAAUAGAUGUUUAUAGUUUUGCAUUUCUACGUCUUGUAUUAUUUCACAACAGAUUAGCAGUAGAAUUAACUUUACUGUAAUAAUAGGUAAUUGCUCAAGAGACAAGGAUCUUUGUUGGUGUGCAACUGCGACAGAUAGACAGAUAAUACUGUGCUCUGGAGGACAGACAUUAAAGGACAAGCUGCACAGUAGCAGUAGCACCUCUUACCUGGCGGGUAGACGAGCGCCACAUGGUCUCCAGUGUUUAGGCGUCCCAUCAAAGCUACGGCCACCCGCUCUGCCCGCUUGUGCAGUUGCAGACAGGAAGCUGUACUCGCCACCGUGCCCUGAAAAGCGAAAAACAAACAAACAUUAGAACUAGUUGUACUAAUUUACACUUUAACAUGUUUCUUUAAUUUCUACAGAUAUAACAGGGAUUCUGCAAAUUAAUGAUUCUUGCAAUCUGUGUUGAUUUAAAUUUAAGAGCUAUGCUUUCUGCCAUUCUGCCAAAACAUUUCCCCUAAAAAUUAAGAAAAACAAAUGAUGAAGUGUUACAAAAGAAAUCAAUAACAACAAACAGGGAAUUUAAGGACUCAUUAAGCUGAGCAGGUACACAACACUUCAUAUUUAAAAUCUAAUAUUUAGUUUUUAAUUGCCACAGGUCAACUUGUACUUAAUCGGUCAAUUUUUCCUCCUCCUUCAACAGUAUUUUGCAUUCUUCUGAAAUGUUGUUCCUGGAAAUGUUUUGUGUCUUCUCAUGUACUGUGUUGUAUUAUUUUGUCUAUCAUACUUAAGCAAAAGCAGAAAUUCCAUUUAUGCCUGGACUAUUGGACAAUAAAGUUUUGAAUCUUGAA